rnacentral:misc_RNA from 1 species
GAUGAGAACGUAGCGAAAUGCGAUAAGUAAUGUGAAUUGCAGAAUUCAGUGAAUCAUCGAAUCUUUGAACGCACAUUGCGCCCAUUAGUAUUCUAGUGGGCAUGCCUGUUCGAGCGUCAUUUCAACCCUUAAGCCUAGCUUAGUAUUGGGAAUCGACUUUACUGUCGUUCCUCAAAUUCAACGGCGGAUUUAUAGCAAUCUCUGAACGUAGUAAUUUUUUUUCUCGUUUUUGAAAUACUAUAAACCUCAGCCGCUAAACCCCCAAUUUCUUAUGGUUGACCUCGGAUCAGGUAGGAAUACCCGCUGAACUUAAGCAUAUCAAUAAGCGGAGGA